CAGAGAUAUUCGGUGUGUCUGUGAGGACCAUCCGGAGGCGCAUGGACCAAAACAGUCUAAGACAGACAGAUCUCUAUUCAUCUAUUGCUGAUGAAGAAUUGGACCGUAUUGUGACUGAAGUUCACAGAAGUCAUCCAAACACUGGAUACAAGCUAAUGCACGGACAUCUGAAAGCAAGAGGUGUACUUGUUCCCAUCUCAAGAUUGCGGGAGUCUUUACGCAAGGUUGAUGCAGAGGGAGUGCAUAUGAGACGUUUAAGGCUGUAUUCUGUUCCUGGCCCAAACCAUCUUUGGCAUAUUGAUGGUAACCAUAAGCUCAUAAG